AAGUGUUGGUUAAGUCAUAACCUAGAAUUAGAUUCUAAGGGCUUCUAAGAGUUGGUAUAGAAUGUUCAUGCCCAAAGCAAAUACAAAUUCCAAGAACUGGAGGAUCAAUCUAGGUCAAAGUCUGUUAGAAGAAAGUCGAGAUUCAACACAAAGAUUAACUCUAAAUGACAAACUCAGAAGGCUUGAAGUGGAAUCCAGGUUGAAGUCAUACAGCCAAAAAUGUAGAUCCAGGGGAAGGUGAACUCGAAGCAGAGUCAGGUGUAUAUCACUUAAGGGGGCUCUGAAACCUAGUGGGUAUUUGUGGUUUGUCUUCAUGAACUGGUGGGUUCAAAGAGGGAUCUUGAUGGGAUCAGGUUGUGUUACUGGCCUAGGACAGGGAAAACAUAGGAGUUAAGAUUGGUGAAAGAUCUAAAGAUCACAACCUGGAGAAUUUUUGACUAAGGGACUUACAAUUCAUUUUAUAGGCCAUGUGGAUUAAGUAAGGGAUUAAAGAGGAACAAGGAAUGGUCCAAUUCACACUGACAGUAUCUUUCAAGCAAGAGUAGGGAGGUUGGAUUGGGGGAGAAUGAGGCAGGAGGCAGGACAAUUCGCUGGUUAAGAGAUGACUGCAGUUGUUCAGGUGUGAGAAGAGGGAGCCAACCUAGGGCAGGUCAUAGGAGAGUGAGCGCUGAACAUUUACUCAAGGGUAGGUAUGUUGAGAAGGUAGAUGCAAUAGCAUGUUUGUCUUAUUGUAUGUAUGGUGUGAGGGAAAAGUUGACUUACAGAUAUCUAGGUGGUUGGCAGUGUCAGCAGCAGACAGAGAGAGGUCCAAGGGGGAAAGGUUUCCUCGAGAAAGAUGUUGAGUUUAGUUUUGGACACGAUGCUUUUGUGGUUCCCACAGGAAAGCUAGGUGCAGUGAUUGGUAGUCCACUGGAACUACUGGCCAAAAAUUGCAGGAAGAGAUAGCGUAGAGAUAGUGAUGAUGCUAUCAGAGAAGGGAGGCUUUCACCCAGACAGAAGAUAGUGAAAAGUAGCCUGAAGGUCUAGAUCCCCUGAUUUUAGGUUAAAGACAUGAGAAAAAACACCCGGAAGGAAAGAGAAGGAUGACUUCAAGGGCCAGAAGGAAUGGACUGGUCUUGAGUGGGAGAGGUGGCACCUUCAUCCACUGAGUCCAGCCAGGCCUGGAUGGGAAUAGAAACAGAUACAGACUGUUUAAUAGGUGUUGGGUAAAAACAUUGAGGUAAUUCUUUUUCACAUAAGUAAGAGGCAUUGUUUUCUACUAUGCACUAGAGCAGAGGUCAGCAAACUAUUUUCCUGAAUGGCUAGGCUAGAUCACCAAUAGUUUAGGCUUUGUGGGCCUAAAGGUCUCUGUCAGAAUGACUCCACUCUUGUUACAGCACAAAAGUAGCUAUAGAGGUGCCUUAAACAAAUGCUGUGUUCCAAUAAAACUUUAUUUAAAACAGGUGGUGGGCCCAAUUUAGCCUGCAAGCCAUAACGUGCUGACUCCUGUAUUACAGGGUUGAGGCUUGAAGGGCUGAAGGUUUGAAGUGAAUGUUGGAGGUUUGGAUUCCUCUUUUUGGGGAAACAGGAGAGGGUUUCCCAGGGGACUGCAGUUGGAUUCUUAGGCCAAGGAAGAGAGACACAGACAAGACCGAAGCUGGAGGAGCAGCUGCUGGUCCAUCCGCUGCCAACAAUUGGCAGCAGGUUCCUGGGGACACUGUAGGCACCUGGUUCACACAGGACCAGCACAGCUGGUCCAGACUUUGACUAGCAGAAUAUGGCUUCCUUUGUCACCAAAGUGACCGGCCCUGUGAUCUUGCUGCAGCCUGCUGAAACUGAGAGGGAAACAGUGAAAGCAGUACACCUCCACGGAGCAGGUGCAAGUCACAUUUCACUAAUGAACAAUGGGCACUUUGCACACAGGAGGCUUUGAUCUGAGCUCUAAAAAGCCCUUCUGUUGGACAGGCUGUUGGCUGAGGCAGGCGGCAGUGAGAAGCGUUGGGAAGAAUCCUUUAUCCAAGUGAGUCAGUGCAAGAGCUAUCAUCAAACAAUACGGGCAGAGUCAAACACUCUCAUUCCCAGGGAUCUCCUUGGGAGAAAGCAAUGGGUUUAUGGGAGCAAAAUAUUCAUGAAACCACAGAUCUCCAUGAAUGGCAGAUGAAGUCCAAACCUCCAUCCCCACCCCGCCACCUGUUAUCACCACACCAGUCUGCUCUAUAUCCCUAGCCCAUGCCGGGAUACUUCCAGUAAACAUAGAGCCCAGUAAUUCCUUUAGUCCAUCAAUCAAUUGAUUAUAUAGUUGAACCACCCCCCAAAUGAAUAAGACAUUUCUUCUCUAUUAAACUUAAAUCUAUCUUCUACCUCUUGAUUUCAGUUCUGCCUUCGGGAGUUACACAGGACAAUUCUACUUGAAGAAGGGGGCAGCCAUAUGAGACCACUAUUUCUGUCUAUUUAAAGACCACUCUCAUGACUUCCAGGAAAUGUUCAUAGGGCAUCUUUUCACAAAUUAAAAAUUCAAAAUUAAAUACUUAAAUUAAAAUAAAUAAAUUUAUAAAGAAAAAUAAAAUAAGAUACACGGCUACCUUCAUGUAUGAAAUGGUGCCUUCUCCCUCCACAGUGAACUCCAAGGUUCCACUGAAAAAUACUGUCCCUUCCUGUAAAAAUCAGCAGAAUUGCAAGCAUUUUAUGAUGAAAGAGACUGUAGAGAUCGUUUCAUCUAAGACUUCAUUUCACAGAUGGGGAAACAGAGGCUCACUGGGAUGAAGUCCCGCGGUAAUUCAGAGUCAAGACAAGAGGUCCAGCCAGUUUGGGGCUUGCAACUCUGUGUCAUGUCGCCCUGGUGCUGCCUGCGAUCAAGCGUAAGAAUAAAGACUAUGACUCUGUGAAAA